UGAAGGUAACCGUGGCGCUGAUGUUGUGAAGGAAAACGUGUUCGUCCCCGCUAUACAAGCCCGGUUCCUGCGGGUUGUGCCCUGGACCUGGUUUAAAAAUGGCGCCGCUCUCAGACUGGAACUCCUGGGGUGUGACGUCAUAGAUACCACCACGUCACCUUCUACAACACCACCCCCCCAACAAACGACAACUACAACAUCAGAUGCUCCAGAAGGAGGACAAGAUGGCCACGGCCCUCUGUCAACAGUUGUGAUAAUCGCCCUAGCCGUCGGUGGUGUGGCAGUGGUGGCAGCUGUGACAGUUGUUGGGGCUGUUGUGAGAAGACGG